rnacentral:rRNA from 2 species
GAUGAACGCUGGCGGCGUGCCUAAUACAUGCAAGUCGAACGAGUUCUCGUUGAUGAUCGGUGCUUGCACUGAGAUUCAACAUGGAACGAGUGGCGGACGGGUGAGUAACACGUGGGUAACCUGCCCUUAAGUGGGGGAUAACAUUUGGAAACAGAUGCUAAUACCGCAUAGAUCCAAGAACCGCAUGGUUCUUGGCUGAAAGAUGGCGUAAGCUAUCGCUUUUGGAUGGACCCGCGGCGUAUUAGCUAGUUGGUGAGGUAAUGGCUCACCAAGGCGAUGAUACGUAGCCGAACUGAGAGGUUGAUCGGCCACAUUGGGACUGAGACACGGCCCAAACUCCUACGGGAGGCAGCAGUAGGGAAUCUUCCACAAUGGACGCAAGUCUGAUGGAGCAACGCCGCGUGAGUGAAGAAGGCUUUCGGGUCGUAAAACUCUGUUGUUGGAGAAGAAUGGUCGGCAGAGUAACUGUUGUCGGCGUGACGGUAUCCAACCAGAAAGCCACGGCUAACUACGUGCCAGCAGCCGCGGUAAUACGUAGGUGGCAAGCGUUAUCCGGAUUUAUUGGGCGUAAAGCGAGCGCAGGCGGUUUUUUAAGUCUGAUGUGAAAGCCCUCGGCUUAACCGAGGAAGCGCAUCGGAAACUGGGAAACUUGAGUGCAGAAGAGGACAGUGGAACUCCAUGUGUAGCGGUGAAAUGCGUAGAUAUAUGGAAGAACACCAGUGGCGAAGGCGGCUGUCUGGUCUGUAACUGACGCUGAGGCUCGAAAGCAUGGGUAGCGAACAGGAUUAGAUACCCUGGUAGUCCAUGCCGUAAACGAUGAAUGCUAGGUGUUGGAGGGUUUCCGCCCUUCAGUGCCGCAGCUAACGCAUUAAGCAUUCCGCCUGGGGAGUACGACCGCAAGGUUGAAACUCAAAGGAAUUGACGGGGGCCCGCACAAGCGGUGGAGCAUGUGGUUUAAUUCGAAGCAACGCGAAGAACCUUACCAGGUCUUGACAUCUUUUGAUCACCUGAGAGAUCAGGUUUCCCCUUCGGGGGCAAAAUGACAGGUGGUGCAUGGUUGUCGUCAGCUCGUGUCGUGAGAUGUUGGGUUAAGUCCCGCAACGAGCGCAACCCUUAUGACUAGUUGCCAGCAUUUAGUUGGGCACUCUAGUAAGACUGCCGGUGACAAACCGGAGGAAGGUGGGGAUGACGUCAAAUCAUCAUGCCCCUUAUGACCUGGGCUACACACGUGCUACAAUGGAUGGUACAACGAGUUGCGAGACCGCGAGGUCAAGCUAAUCUCUUAAAGCCAUUCUCAGUUCGGACUGUAGGCUGCAACUCGCCUACACGAAGUCGGAAUCGCUAGUAAUCGCGGAUCAGCACGCCGCGGUGAAUACGUUCCCGGGCCUUGUACACACCGCCCGUCACACCAUGAGAGUUUGUAACACCCGAAGCCGGUGGCGUAACCCUUUUAGGGAGCGAGCCGUCUAAGGUGGGACAAAUGAUUAGGGUGAAG